AUUGAACGCUGGCGGCAGGCCUAACACAUGCAAGUCGAGCGGAUGAAGGGAGCUUGCUCCUGGAUUCAGCGGCGGACGGGUGAGUAAUGCCUAGGAAUCUGCCUGGUAGUGGGGGAUAACGUCCGGAAACGGGCGCUAAUACCGCAUACGUCCUGAGGGAGAAAGUGGGGGAUCUUCGGACCUCACGCUAUCAGAUGAGCCUAGGUCGGAUUAGCUAGUUGGUUGGGUAAAGGCCUACCAAGGCGACGAUCCGUAACUGGUCUGAGAGGAUGAUCAGUCACACUGGAACUGAGACACGGUCCAGACUCCUACGGGAGGCAGCAGUGGGGAAUAUUGGACAAUGGGCGAAAGCCUGAUCCAGCCACGCCGCGUGUGUGAAGAAGGUCUUCGGAUUGUAAAGCACUUUAAGUUGGGAGGAAGGGCAGUAAGUUAAUACCUUGCUGUUUUGACGUUACCAACAGAAUAAGCACCGGCUAACUUCGUG
rnacentral:rRNA from 1 species